rnacentral:lncRNA from 1 species
AAAUUUUCAACUAUUUUAUAGACAUUAAUAUAUCAGUAACAAAAAAAACAUUAAAUGAAAUUUGAAUUACUAUAAUAGGAUUACUACAAUUUGGUAAAAGAACAUCAUUCUAAUCACACGCUCUCCAAAAUGCACAAUCUUUCUGUCUCAGCCACUAACACGAGUGCUUACCAAGACCGGUUCGUGCUCCAGUGUAGACAUAAAUUGGCGUUUCUUUCAGGUUUCGGUUACAAAGCCCAAGCCUUUUUGAACUUGGUCUGUCCAAUAUUAACAUCCCUCAA